GCACUCUGUCUGAUGAGAGAGUUAUUCUAGUUGCAUAAAAAAUAUAUAAUUUUUUUUUGCUUGGCUAAAUGAAAAUAUUAGCUUCAAUGACAAACUCAAAUGUGCAGGAGCUGAAUUUUAAAGUAUGUGAAAUUGUCCAAUUUAGUAACAAAUACAAGUUGAUAUGUGAAAUUGUCCAAUUUAGUAACAAAUACAAGUUGAUAUGUGAAAUUGUCCAAUUUAGU
rnacentral:misc_RNA from 1 species